UCCUCUUCUCCAUAGUCUCUUUGCUUUUCAAAUGCAUCGCAGCUGCCCCUGGUUCUAUGGAAUGUGGGACAGGUCUGGACGGCUAAGGCUGGGUUGAACCUAUAAAGAGUGUAAGAAGGCAAGGAAGAAAUAUCCCCUUGGAGAAGUUGUCAGGGACCGUGACCUCACAGGAAAAGCCACCAACCAGAGCUGAGGAGACCAGAGCCCAGCCCGCGUGUCUGGAGCAUUGGUAGACGCCUCCCAUCUUGGCCCUGACUCUACCAUGGGCUACAGGCUGCUGGGCUGUGUGGUCCUCUCUCUCCUGAGAACAGUCUCCAUGGACACUGGAAUUACCCAGAUACCAAAAUUCCUGGUCAUGGGGAUGACAAAUAAGAAGUCUUUGAGAUGUGAACAACAUCUGGGACAUAAUUAUAUGUGUUGGUAUAGACAGAAUGCUAAGAAGCCACCCGAGCUCAUGUUUUCCUACAACUAUAAGGAACUGGUCGAAAAUAAGACUGUUCCAAAUCGCUUCACCCCUGACUAUCCAGGCGGCUCUCACUUAUACCUUCACGUGGAUGGCCUGGAGCCUGAAGACUCAGCCAUGUAUCUCUGUGCCAGCAGCAGAGACACAGCCUCGCAGAGUCAGUGCCUCCCUGUGCACAAACUUUCAGGUCCAGCCAAGAGGCUGUGGGGGCCACCGAGGGCUCUGCCGUGCAUUUCCUGCAGGACCUGGCAAGAGUUUCAGAACACAAUACCACCUGCCAGUUCUACUGAUGUGGCAACUCUACAUUUUACGCACAUACUUAAAGUGUGGGUUUUCUUUUUCCUGAGUAUGACUCUGCCCUGUCAACUGAUUAAAAGAUAAACAUAUAAAUGCCUUUUAAAAAAUCAUGAAAUAAAACGUGCCUGCUGUAA